UAGGGAAUCUUCGGCAAUGGACGAAAGUCUGACCGAGCAACGCCGCGUGAGUGAAGAAGGUUUUCGGAUCGUAAAACUCUGUUGUUAGAGAAGAACAAGGACGUUAGUAACUGAACGUCCCCUGACGGUAUCUAACCAGAAAGCCACGGCUAACUACGUGCCAGCAGCCGCGGUAAUACGUAGGUGGCAAGCGUUGUCCGGAUUUAUUGGGCGUAAAGCGAGCGCAGGCGGUUUCUUAAGUCUGAUGUGAAAGCCCCCGGCUCAACCGGGGAGGGUCAUUUGAAACUGGGAGACUUGAGUGCAGAAGAGGGGAGUGGAAUUCCAUGUGUAGCGGUGAAAUGCGUAGAUAUAUGGAGGAACACCAGUGGCGAAGGCGGCUCUCUGGUCUGUACCUGACGCUGAGGCUCGAAAGCGUGGGGAGCAAACAGG
rnacentral:rRNA from 1 species